rfam:Weissella cibaria strain MG1 contig000016, whole genome shotgun sequence.
UCAAACAAGCUGGGGUGCCAAGUGGCUGAGAUGAUACCCAUAGAACCUGAGCAGGAUAAUGCCUGCUAGGGAGCUUGGUUUGUUUACGA